rnacentral:rRNA from 1 species
UACGUAGGGUGCAAGCGUUGUCCGGAAUUAUUGGGCGUAAAGGGCUCGUAGGCGGUCUGUCACGUCGGGAGUGAAAACUCAGGGCUUAACCCUGAGACUGCUUCCGAUACGGGCAGACUAGAGGUAUGCAGGGGAGAACGGAAUUCCUGGUGUAGCGGUGAAAUGCGCAGAUAUCAGGAGGAACACCGGUGGCGAAGGCGGUUCUCUGGGCAGUACCUGACGCUGAGGAGCGAAAGUGUGGGGAGCGAACAGG